rnacentral:rRNA from 1 species
GACGAACGCUGGCGGCGUGCUUAACGCAUGCAAGUCGAACGGAAAGGCCUCUUUCGGGGGGUACUCGAGUGGCGAACGGGUGAGUAACACGUGAGUAACCUGCCCUUGACUUUGGGAUAACUUCAGGAAACUGGGGCUAAUACCGGAUAGGAGCUCCUGCUGCAUGGUGGGGGUUGGAAAGUUUCGGCGGUUGGGGAUGGACUCGCGGCUUAUCAGCUUGUUGGUGGGGUAGUGGCUUACCAAGGCUUUGACGGGUAGCCGGCCUGAGAGGGUGACCGGCCACAUUGGGACUGAGAUACGGCCCAGACUCCUACGGGAGGCAGCAGUGGGGAAGAUUGCACAAUGGGUGGAAGCCUGAUGCAGCAACGCCGUGUGCGGGAGGACGGCCUUCGGGUUGGAAACCGCUUUCGCUCAUGACGAAGCUUUGUGUGACGGUAGUGGGUAAAGAAGCACCGGCUAACUACGUG